ACCUCGGAUCAGGUAGGGAUACCCGCUGAACUUAAGCAUAUCAAUAAGCGGAGGAAAAGAAACCAACAGGGAUUACCUCAGUAACGGCGAGUGAAGCGGUAACAGCUCAAAUUUGAAAUCUGGCUCUUUUAGGGUCCGAGUUGUAAUUUGUAGACGAUGCUUUGGGUGUGGUGCCGGUCUAAGUUCCUUGGAACAGGACGUCAUAGAGGGUGAGAAUCCCGUAUGUGAUCGGUCGCCUUCGCCCGUGUAAAGCUCGUUCGACGAGUCGAGUUGUUUGGGAAUGCAGCUCAAAAUGGGUGGUAAAUUUCAUCUAAAGCUAAAUAUUGGCCAGAGACCGAUAGCGCACAAGUAGAGUGAUCGAAAGAUGAAAAGCACUUUGGAAAGAGAGUUAAACAGUACGUGAAAUUGUUGAAAGGGAAGCGCUUGCAACCAGACUUGGGCUGUCGCAAUCAUCCGGGGCUCGCCCCGGUGCACUUGUGGCGGCACAGGCCAGCAUCAGUUUCGGUGGUGGGAUAAAGGCCUUGGGAAUGUAGCUUCUUUCGGGGAGUGUUAUAGCCCU
rnacentral:rRNA from 1 species